AGAUGGAUUAGUGGCGCACGGGUGAGUAAUGCAUAGAUAACAUGCCCUUUAGUCUAGGAUAGCCACUGGAAACGGUGAUUAAUACUGGAUACUCCCUACGGGGGAAAGUUUUUCGCUAAAGGAUUGGUCUAUGUCCUAUCAGCUUGUUGGUGAGGUAAUGGCUCACCAAGGCUAUGACGGGUAUCCGACCUGAGAGGGUGAACGGACACACUGGAACUGAGACACGGUCCAGACUCCUACGGGAGGCAGCAGUAGGGAAUAUUGCUCAAUGGGGGAAACCCUGAAGCAGCAACGCCGCGUGGAGGAUGAAGGUUUUAGGAUUGUAAACUCCUUUUGUUAGAGAAGAUU
rnacentral:rRNA from 1 species